rnacentral:lncRNA from 1 species
CACAGUCAUAGCUCACUGCAACCUCAGCCUUCCACAUUUGGAAGCUAGGAAUUCCAGUGAUCGCACAGGAUUCUGGGAGCCACAGUCCCAUUUUUGCUGAACUCCUGGCCUCAAGAGAUCCUCCUGCCUCGGCCUCCCAAAGUGCCAGGAUUACGGGAUCAUUGCCAGCAGAACAUCCUACACCAAUGGCUCUUUGGGCAGGAUCUUGGCUGUGCUUUGUCUGUCUAGCUUCAUGCCUAAGUUUGCCAAGAGCCCUGAUCCAGGUGAAGUGUGUAAACCUUGCACGUGGAAUUCCCAGCAAAGAAGCUGUAGGGAUCGGGAUAGGGCCUGGGAAGUGUCUGACUUACAGAAACCCACCAUGUCUUGUUCUCUGCUGGAGACCUCUGCUUCUCCAUCUUGUGAACAUCCACAGGCCCCCUGCACCGUAAUCUUGCCCUCUUACUGUUGACUCAGUCCUCAUGGAAGUUAUAAAAGAACUUGUGUGGAUUAGCUUGCUAAAUACAUCCAAGAUUUGAAGAACUGAAAACAAAAUCAGUAUUAAACCUGCUUUUUAAAAAUGCACCCUUGCAGGGUAACAGUUAACACUUCCGUGGUCUGGAUGAGGAUACGAGAGAGAUGCUCUUCCUGGCAUGGAUGUAAAUAAGAGAUUGGAACCUCCUGGAUUGUGUUCAUAAGAGGAAUGUGAUCCUCAUCCUUCUAAACUUUGUCUGGAGUCACAGAAAGCAAGGAAGUUAGAGAAACAUCCUGUCACACAGCUUUGGUACCUGUGUGGGGAGCUAAGAGAUCUGAUGUCCAGUUCCUUCCAGUCCUUUAAUGAAUUUCCUCUGUGUCCAUGAGCUAUCUAACAUCCAUGGGAAACAGUUGAUCUUAUGCCAACCAAGGGGCAUGGACCAGAUGCUCUCAAGAGUCUCUCAGUCAGCUCUUUGCUGAGGGACCUUAUGCAUGGAGGAAAGUGCACACAUCGCUAAGUGGAUAGCUUGAUGGAAUAGUUGUUACAAAAUGGACACACUUCUGCAAUCAGCACCUUGAUUAGUAGAAAAUUACCAGCACCCCAGAGCCCUCCUCCCCUCAUGCUCCAGGAGCAACCGGUAUGCUGCCUUGUGAUGCCUUUGUUUAGUUUGUUUUUAUGAAUAGAAUCAUACAGUGAAUAUUCUUUUGUGUCUAGCUUGUUUUACUUAUUAUGUUUGUGAGAUCUACAAUAUUGUAUACAAUACUUUUUUUGCAUUCUCUUUGCUCUAAUGCUAUUCAAUUGUAUAGCGAUUUUACAGUUGCUGGACAUUUACGUAGUCUCUUGCUUGGGCAUAUUACUAAUAGUGCUCCUAUGAAUGUGUUGUGCAUAUCUUUUCAUUAUGAUCGUAUUUUGUUUGUUCAGGGACUAAAGUCAUUUUGAUUCGGUGGCACUUUGGAUUGAUGUUGAACUUUAGGUAGCCAAGUGAUUUGUCUGCUUCAAUGUGAUGUUCCAAGGUGCUUACUCAACAGGAUCAGAUGAAGAUGUUUUUGUAGAUUACUCUUGUGGGGUGUGGCCAGGUGGAAGCCCUCUCUGAUAUGUGAGUGGUGUGGUGAGGCUUAUUGUCCUGGCAGAGAAGGGUUUUGAUUGCAUGGUACAGGAAGGGACUAUGUAGGGGAAGGGGAAAUAGAUCCAGAAGAGAGAUGUGUCUGGAUUCCCAUAGAAACUGUCAGGAUAUCUUACCAAUCAGAUCAAGAACCUGGAAAAGUAAGAGCCCCAGGGAAGACUCAGCUUGUGAGACCCGAUGUGUCUAGGGAGACGAAUAGAGAAAGAAAAAUUGAGGCAGGCCUGAACUCAGAAGGAGCUCUCAAAGAAUUUUCUGAACAAAUUCAUUAAGCCUAACUUGUUUUAAGGAAGCUUUGAAAAACCAGUCCCUAAAAGUAUGAAUCUUGAGCCAAGAAUGAACUUAAAGUAUAGAACUAGGAAAAAAUGUAUUUUCCCAAACAAAUAUGGGAUGUGAGCAUGUGGGCUUUGCCUUAAGACCUUUCUGCAUUCAGAUCACAAUUCCACCACUUUCUUGUCUCAUGACCUUUCUGGGUCAGCUUCCACAUCUGUAAAAUGGGGUGGUAAAAUCUCCACCUCUAAGAUGCCCCCAAAAUCUGCUGUAACAAUUGACUACAAUAGUGUUAGUAUUAUGCUUCAGGGCACAUAGACCUAGCACUAAAAAUGAUAGUCAUUUUAUUUCUCAUUCUUGUUACUAAGGUUACCCAUUUGUAUCUGAUACUUUAUGAGAGU